rnacentral:rRNA from 1 species
UACGAAGGGGGCUAGCGUUGCUCGGAAUUACUGGGCGUGAAGGGUGCGUAGGCGGGUCUUUAAGUCAGAGGUGAAAUCCUGGAGCUCAACUCCAGAACUGCCUUUGAUACUGAGGAUCUUGAGUUCGGGAGAGGUGAGUGGAACUGCGAGUGUAGAGGUGAAAUUCGUAGAUAUUCGCAAGAACACCAGUGGCGAAGGCGGCUCACUGGCCCGGUACUGACGCUGAGGUGCGAAAGCGUGGGGAGCAAACAGG